ACACUGCGAUUUUUUGUUUUCUUCCUCCCGCUCCUUUCCAUUUCGUACGACCCAAGCAGCAAAAGGAGCACGCCUUUGUCCUCUGGUGGCAUGAGAUUAAGACACGUCGAAGCCAAGGACAUAGAAGUUGAGUCCAAGUCGUCCAUUCUACUUUCCCGUUUCGGAAUGGUUUGGAAUCGUCAGAAAAAGUAUUCAUCCUGAAAUGGUAAAAGGAUUUGGGGUUUUCAAAAUUUAAAUUGGUUCUUGGCCUUACCUAAUUCUACCCUCACCUCUUCCCCUUCUAAACCCUGUUUUCGUUCCUAUAUAAAUUUUCUUUUGAACUUCUGCUGAGGAGGAGAUUUUUUGGAGAAGGGAGAGAAAAUUUUAGUCCUGAUAAUUCUAAAAACAAAAACGGAGGAGGAAGAGGGAGAAAUUUUUGAAAAAGGCAAGUUAUUAGAUAUUUUCUUUUUGGUUGGACAUUUUUUUUUCUCGAACAAAGUAGAGAGAAAACUCCAACGCCAUAAUCCUUCAUAGAACAUAUUGUAGAGGCUCUCUUUUUCGCAUUUUUGAGUUUCAUUGUAGGAUCCGAUUGAGCAUUCACGUUCAAGUUUUGUGUUAGUGGAAGUGUCUCUCUGAACUCAUCAACCAUCCCAAAAUCGCUGCACUAUAAGAGGACAGGUACAAGUCGAGUGGGCCUAACACCUACAAACGGAAAUGAGUCCAAACUGCGGUCCAGGCGGAUAGAACCCAGGUCUUCUUCCUUUGAGCAAGAAGGUUUUCCAUUAUAAAAAUUGGCAUAAUCGUACAAAGCACAUUAAAUUUAGUUAUAUUAUUGUCUCAUCAAUUCUUUACAUUGUAUCAAUGAAUUGUGUAUGGUUAUAAGAAGAAAAUCAUAAAACAUACAUACCAAAAAUGAAGUAUUGAAGAAAGACAAUAGCUUAACAAUUUUGAACUUGCUAGCUAGUGACCACAUCCACGGUAACUUGUCCCGAGUAUGCUUUUUGUAUAACGGAAUUUUCUACUAUUUAAAUGUCUACAUGUAUACACUCAAAAUUGAAGAGUAUAAAUAUUAGAUAAACUCAAGUUAAACACCAUGUUUAUGUAGUAUUGUUCAACAAUACCUUUGAACUUGCUACCUAGUGACCUCGUCCACGAUGACUUGGCCCGGAAUAUGCUCUUUGUAUAACAAAAUUCUCUACCAUUGAUGAGAAAGUUUGUUCUUUAAGAGGUCUCAACCCCUCAACUUGCAUCAAGUUAUUGGAAAAGAAAACAAAGAGAAUUAUUAACAAGACAUUUACAACCAACAAACAAGAGUUGAAGCACUUCAUAUUAUUUUUUGUUAAGAAAAAAAAUGAAGUAUUGUGUUUGCAAUAUUUUUUGGGUAGAAGGAUUAUGCCUAUAUAUAAAGGUGAUAUUCAGGAGUCAAGUAGGUAUAUUUCUUUGACUAUUUUGCUUUAAGGUGUAGGAAGCAAGAAGUCAUCUUAUUCAUACAUUUGAAUUUUCAUGUUUGAAAAUGUUAAAUGUGCAUUUGAAUGUUAACGAUAAUUUUAGUCAAGGAA